rnacentral:rRNA from 1 species
UACGUAGGGUGCGAGCGUUAAUCGGAAUUACUGGGCGUAAAGCGUGCGUAGGUGGUUUGUUAAGUCUGUUGUGAAAGCCCCCGGGCUCAACCUGGGAAUGGCAAUGGAUACUGGCAAGCUAGAGUGCGGUAGAGGGUAGUGGAAUUCCCGGUGUAGCGGUGAAAUGCGUAGAGAUCGGGAGGAACACCAGUGGCGAAGGCGGCUACCUGGACCAGCACUGACACUGAGGCACGAAAGCGUGGGGAGCAAACAGG